rnacentral:tRNA from 1 species
GCAGAGGUGUCCGAGUGGCUGAAGGGACACGCACGGAAAGUGUGUAUACGGCAACGUAUCGGGGUUCGAAUCCCCUCACCGCCA